rnacentral:rRNA from 1 species
CGACCGCUGGCGGCGUGCUUAACACAUGCAAGUCGAACGGAAAGGCCCUGCUUUUGUGGGGUGCUCGAGUGACGAACGGGUGAGUAACACGUGAGUAACCUGCCCUUGACUUUGGGAUAACUUCAGGAAACUGGGGCUAAUACCGGAUAGGAGCUCCUGCUGCAUGGUGGGGGUUGGAAAGUUUCGGCGGUUGGGGAUGGACUCGCGGCUUAUCAGCUUGUUGGUGGGGUAGUGGCUUACCAAGGCUUUGACGGGUAGCCGGCCUGAGAGGGUGACCGGCCACAUUGGGACUGAGAUACGGCCCAGACUCCUACGGGAGGCAGCAGUGGGGAAUAUUGCACAAUGGGCGGAAGCCUGAUGCAGCAACGCCGCGUGCGGGAUGACGGCCUUCGGGUUGUAAACCGCUUUCGCCUGUGACGAAGCGUGAGUGACGGUAAUGGGUAAAGAAGCACCGGCUAACUACGUG